CCAAAAGUUGGACGACUGCCCUCUCCCACACUGGAAGAACCAUGCAGUUCACGUUAUCUCAUAGAAGCCCAGAACAUUAUAAAGGACACCCACCAUCCCGCUCACUCCCUGUUUGAACUGUUGCCUUCAGGCAGACGCAUCACCGCCCGGACGCCUGAGAGAGAGAGAGACCGCGGCAGAGAGAGGCAGAGAGCCUCUGGCCGGCCUCAGACCACCAACCGCUCUCUUCAGCUCCCUUUUCCUCUCUUGCCCUUUUUUUUCUGAGUCCGGAAAACCAGAAGCCUCCUGCGUUGCACAACCUCGGCCUCCAGUGGGCAUCCUGCAGGUGGUGGUGGGGGGGGGGCUGCCCUCACUGUGCUUCAGAUCAACACAAGAUGUCCUCCUGUCUGUCAGAGCUGCUAGCUUCAUCUGUGACGCCAGCCUUUCAGCCUCUUUUACAUUCUGGUUUUGGUUUCCAGUGUUUCCAGAGCAGAUGGAGUCCUGACUGAUAUUAUUAGUAUUAUGUUAUGUAAGUGUUUGUUUUAGAUUUCACCACACUGCUGCUGAAGUCUGUCGUGACCCUUCAUCAGAGGCUGAGACCUUUUGUUUUAUAAGUGUCUAUUUGCUGACUUGUUUCUGGUCUGAUGUUAAUAUAAUAUAAUAAUAUUUGUCUUCUGAAGUGUUCUUUAUUCCUUCCUUUACUGACAUUGAUGAAUGUAAAUGUUUGUGCGGAUCUCAGUGUGGGGGUCGCUCUCCCUCCGGCUGACUCCUUUAAGUCCAUGAAAUAAACAAUUAGUAGGCUGA